AGGUGUUUAAAAAUAAAGACCUGCCUGUAUGCGAUCAUUGCCGGUUUACCUUGCUGAUGUGUAUCAAGAAUCUCUCCAUCUGAUACAUAUUGAUCGAUUACGAAAAAGCUUUCAACCGUCUUAAUCAUGAACACAUGUGGGGAGCCCUCAGACGCAAGGGUGUCCCGGAGAACAUUAUUGGCCUCAUUGAAGCACAGUACAGGGCAUGUUUGUGUAGAGUACUGCACAACGGUGUCUUGUCCGAUCCCAUUCGGGUCAUUGCUGGAGUGAGGCAAGGCUGUAUCAUAUCACCGCUUCUGUUCCUCUUCGUAAUCGACGAGAUCGUGGGUUGCCGUGGCAGCCCAUUACUAUGGAACACCUAAAUGACUUCGAAUUGGCUGAUAACAUUGCUCCCCUAGUUCAACGGUGCUCUGAAAACAAGAUCGAUGAUCUUGCCAAUCGCACCUCGAUGGCAGGUCUUACCAUCAUCGUCAACAAGACCAAAUCGUUGGAUGUAAACACGGUCAAACCUUCCAGCUUUACUGUAGCUGGACAAGUAGUGGAGAAUGUUGAAAGCUUCCAAUAGUUUGGUAACCAAAUGGCAGCCGAUGGUGACCAAAGAUCGACAUAGGUGCACGGAUCAAGAAGGCGAAGGCUGUUUUUGCGAGUUUGAGAAAUGCGUAGAAAAACAACCAUAUUAGUCGACGCACAAAAGUCCUAAUUUUCAACCGGAACGUCAAAUCUGUGCUGCUGUACGCCAGGGAAACUUGGUGUGUAUCAGCGUAGAAUAUUCAACGGUUUCAGGUCUUCAUGCCUACGAUAUAUAAUUCAUGUAUGGUGGCCUCACAAUUGGAUCUCCAACGUGGUGGCGGUUGCCGGUACUGCACAUUGUUGAUGACGGGAAGCUACGAUAGAUAAUAACUUCGUUAGUGUCGGAGAAGUUUCGUCCGUCAAUCAGAACAUGGUCGAUUUGCGAUUCCCUCUGCUGUGGUGUUCUCCAGGUGUAACGGAGACUGUAUUGGAAAAGGGGCUACGCAUGGCCAUGUUUUAGUAGGCAGCGAAAUCGAUGCGUCGUGUAGGCUGUUUUUUGUUAUCUGCUAGUGGGCUCUACAGCGUGUUCUUAGUUUCAAGGGCAAUUUCAUGCACCAGGAUCAUCAAGUGUUUUGACCUUAUCUAGUUGUUAAUUGCAACAUGCAACUGUUCUCCGAUUCGUCAUUGCCAUCUCAAAUGCUCAACGAAUGAUAUGUAUUUUCCCGGGUGCAGACCAAAACAACAAAAUCAAAAUUGCCGUGUUUACACGUUCAUAGGAUCGUACUUUCCCUCACCUUUAUCUAAGCGUGAUAAGAUAACGACAACCGGUGGAGACUAAAACGAAUUUUAUUGUUAUCGCGCUAUCAGCGUCAAACUCAACUGGAUGGAAGGGAAGCAGGUGACAGACACACUAAAGAACAGAAUGAGUCACAUUUCGCGUCCACAGCUCCACUCAUUUGCACUUGCUUGCCUUUGAGGUGAUGGAACCAGUUGGAACACCGCCGCGUGGCAAAAUUGUUCAUAUGAAAAAACUCACUACAAGGUUUGAUGUUUCCGGUUCCAUAAUUGGAAAUUAAAAACAUGAUGAAUUGGCAAUAUUUUAUUUAUGCGUGCAUAAAAAGCAUAAAUCCUAAGGAAUAAAGAUCAUUUGAAAUCAAGAGUGAUUCACACACCACCACGCUUUAUACACCUAUCCAGCCUACUGCGUGCGCAUCAUUUACAUCAGUCGACGUAAUCUCACAGUACAGCCCGGUUACUGGGAUCGCUGCAAGACGCUGAUGAAAAUUGCACCGUCUGCUAUAACAAAACAUAGGUACAUUCAGCGAAAGUUUUGCACCCAGGCAGCCAGCAGCAGCGGCAGACCACCAAAAACCGGGGGUCCCAUUUAAAAUGCGAAUAAUUAUACUCUGGUUCGGUGCGGUGGUUCCGGGCAGACCGCGACGUCGACCGCCAAUCCAAGGUACCUGUCUGUACAAAAGCAUGCUGAUUCAUACCGCCGUUGUAUGUAUACACGAUACUCGAAGGUGAGAGUGAUGAUGCUACUGAGCGUUGCGUUGCGAUCCUCGUGCAUCUUGUCCGGAAGAAAACGGAAAAAGCGUUGCGUUGUUGUAACGCGAAACGAUAACACAAAAACGACGGAGCCCGCCGCCGCGGUUGGGGUGAACGAGCGCGCGUCUGGCUCGCUAAAAAUAACAAUAAAUAGAUCCACCACCACCGGCCGAUCCGGAGAGCUUUGGGGUAGAAGAAGAGCUCCACGCACUCUGCUGAAGAUGAGCGAUGAUGACGACGCGGCGAUGGGAUCGCAAGGUGAAAUUUUGAUGUUUUCCUCUUAAAUUUAUACAUAAUAUUUGAGCCAGGGGUUUUCAACCUUUUUCGAGCAAUUUUGUCAUCCUCACAUACAGGGAACUUAGCCUAUUUUGAGUAGCUACGGGUCGUCCAGUCUAUGAGUAUGGUGUAAAUUUAGCCAAAGGCACCGAUGAUGUUAAAUUUUGUCCUUAAUACAAUAAUGAUGAAGGAUUUCAAUCUACAUCAAAACUGUCGAGCAGUGAUGGAAUUACUCUCAUCAUGAAGCAAUUCGCGAGUGUAAAGCCAACACAAGGCUUACUCACGAUACCGAGAGUAAACAGUGUGUGAGUUUAUUCGCACCCGCCUGCUUCGUGAGUAAGAAACAAAACAAAAACCGAAACAUUCAUGAGUUUUUAUUCGUGAAGAACUAGUGGAGGUGCGGGAAGUGCAUUUUAUUGUGGUUGAAAUAGCAAUCCAGUGAUUAUCCAACAUAAACUAACGCUUUAUGCUUCAUUGUUCCUGAAAAUCAGCACUGCCGGUCGUUAAAAUGCGUUUUUUGUCCAAAUGCAAAAAAAAAACUCACGAAGCUUCGCAAAUCACAUGCGAGUGCCUACUGUAGUAUAGUAGAGUUAGAUGAGAGUAGGCUGUGACAAUUGAGCUUGACAGGAAUGAAGGAUAAUAAAUCAUUGUUGUUUAAUACUCUGAAAACUAAAGUAUAUUUUAUGGCUUGCUACAUUGGCGGCGAGGAUGAAGCCAAAACAAGUUGGAAGAAAAGGAAAUAUAUUCUGGAGAAGGAAUACCUCAGGAUCUACCUGCAGAACUGGUCAAACACAAAACCGGAAAAAGAAUAUCCAGCGGUUGUAGCGGUUGUGUUAAAUCUAUGGUUGUAGUGCAAAUGAAGUUGUUGUGGUAACCAGGAGCGGUUUGAAUUGAAAUGUCCCCAAUUCCAUGAACGCAGAUGCGAAAGCGCUCAAUACGGCCAGUUAAAAGGAAAAGGUUAGUAAUACCUAGAGAGGAAGUGCGAUAACGUUAAUCAUGAAUAAAGAAAACUAUCUCAGCUGUCUGUGAGGCAAAUGAAAGUUAGAGAUUGCGUUUAUUUUAGCAGUUGUUUUUAAAAUUUAAGUAAAAAGGAUUGUUCGUCGAACCACCAAAUCCUCAUAACGAAACCUGGGAGGUGGGUUGCCAAUUGAUUCAAGCUAAAAUUAAUAAAUUUAAUUAAACGGAAUUCACAGGAUAAUUACACAAUCACAGUUUUACUGUUCUACCGUGGCAUGAUUCUGUGACUCAGAAAUCAGAAAGGAAAAGUAACCAAUUGGUUAAAGAUUCAAAUUGGAUAAUGAGGAAGUUCAAAAUAUGACAUAUAUUCGGGUUUCUCUGAUACCAUGAUCUGGGGGAAAGCGAGUGUUCUGUCAGAUUAAUUAUUGCGCUGCUGGAAGUAUAAUCCAACGUGACAAACCAUAAUAAAAGAAAUUAUUGUUAUUGCUUCUAAUUCAACACGGAGAUUGCUUACCCAAUGAGAUUACAGAUCAAACAGAAUGAUAAUUGUUUAACUGUUAAAUAAUUAUACUAUUUGAUAACAAAUCUUGUUAUCGAGAUCACAGAAUAUACGAGUCAUAGCAAUUGACAUAUUGCAAUUCACAUGUGUAUUUGUUGCUAUAUGGUAACGUUAGCCUACUAUCUAAACAGUAUGGAUGCCCUGUUAUAACUUAGUUAUUCAUUCAACCGAGAGGCUUAAUGCAUCACAACAAAUAAAAUAGAAACGAAAUGCAGCAAUCAGAGCACAAUAAUAGGUUGAUUCAUUUAUAUGAUUUCUUCUGUGAAAUAUUAGGAUGAUGUUUUGUAGGAAGAUUGAAUUGCUUUAUUACGUCAAAUUUGAGUUAGACAUUUAAAAAAAAAGUAUAUGUUUUAACAGUAUGCUCUUUACCAAUGAUUGUAUUGUAUUCACAUUUUAUAUUUUAUAUGUAUUUAUGCUUGUGUUAUUAUAACAACAUAUAGAUAAAUCAGGAAUUAAAAAAAAAAAAAAGCAUUAUCAUGCAGAAUAUUCGUUGAGUUCAGGCUUGGAAAUAACUGGUGGCUUGAAAAAAAAAAAUGAAGAAAAGUUUUAUCUUGUUUUUAUGAAUGAUACUACUGUGAACGUCGGUUUGAAACUAUAUAGAAUACAAUGUGCAUAAAGUUUAGUGGACACAAAACAAAUGUAAAUUAUUAUAAUAUGGAACAUAUUAUGCGGUAAAAAUAUAGUGUGUUUCCUUGGUUGUAAUGUUGUUUAGUUAAUAAUAUGGACAAGAAUUUCAAAAGUUUAAGCACCAUUUCAUGUAUUAUUUUAACCAUUAAAAUGAACGUUUAAACUGGUCUUUGAUGUGGAUCUCCCAUUAUACUUCAGUGCCUAAUUUUUUGAGUCGAAUCCAAUAAUAAUAGAAAUGAGCUACCAAUUGACAAAUGACCCUUUAAACUCUGGAAGGAUGCUUUCAGUCGUAUAUCUUUCCAAGAAAUGUUUGGAUGUUUACAGUCAUUUCGGGCCUCAAAAUAGGAAAUAUGUGAAUGAAUAACAAUAUCUGUAUCUAAUAUAGAGGAUAAACAUCGUUGAUGAUAUAAUCAUCAAAUAGAUUCAAAUGGAUAUUAUAUAGCCCUGCUUUUUAUAAAUUGCGUGGAAUGUCUUAAAUAAUCAGUUAAGUCUUAUUUCGUUUGGCAUAAAUGCAGUUCAGUCUAUAGUGCCGAUUCGUUAGUUGGAGACUCGUUAGACAGUUUGCCUCGAUGGCUUGAUGUUCGCUGAUUGUGGCAAAACCUUAAAAAAAAAGAACUGUCAAUGUCAACAUCGAUGUCAAAGCGAGUUUGACAUCUGACCGCAAUCGCAUCACAGAUCCUAUAAACAGAACGUUUGUGAAAGUGGUUCGUGACGUAUUUCACGUCAUUUGUGUGUGUUGAGAGCAUUUUAAUCAGUUGUCAGUUGCUCAAUGAACGAACACGAUUCGUUAAUCGGGGCACAGUCGUAAACCAAUCAGCGAAUCCAAGCUGUACUAUGAGAUGCAGGAAGCGAGACUUCAGUCCAUCUAUAGUAAAACGCUAUGUUAACGAGAUGUAGUCAGUACUGGCCAAAGACCAAAUGUAGGAGAUUUGUCUCAGUCCAUUUGGCAUUCCAGUCUAUCAUGAGAUGAAGGAAGUGAGACUUCAGUCCAUCUAUGAUAAAGGGAAACGCAAAGGAAACUUGAUGUUUCAGUCUGCAAAAGAAAAGACCAAAUGAAGGAGAUUCGUCUCAGUCCAUUUGGCAUUCCAGUCUAUCAUGAGAUGAAGGAAGUGAGACUUCAGUCCAUCUAUGAUAAAGGGAAACGCAAAGGAAACUUGAUGUUUCAGUCUGCAAAAGAAAAGACCAAAUGAAGGAGAUUCGUCUCAGUCCAUUUGGCAUUCCAGUCUAUCAUGAGAUGAAGGAAGUGAGACUUCAGUCCAUCUAUGAUAAAGGGAAACGCAAAGGAAACUUGAUGUUUCAGUCUGCAAAAGAAAAGACCAAAUGAAGGAGAUUCGUCUCAGUCCAUUUGGCAUUCCAGUCUAUCAUGAGAUGAAGGAAGUGAGACUUCAGUCCAUCAAUGAUAAAGGGAAACGCAAAGGAAACUUGAUGUUUCAGUCUGAAAAACAAAAGACCAAAUGAAGGAGAUUUGUCUUAGUCCAUUUGGCAGUCUUUAGUCCAUUUUUGAUAAAGAUAAAUGUAAAGGGAAAUUGAUGUUUCAUUCUGAUGAAUACAGACUGUUGAUCUUUAGUUCAUCUGCUACAGCGGUAGAAGCUCUGGAUUUUAUAAUAGACUAACAUUUUUUAAGUCUCGUUUAGCAACAACAAUUAUUUCGGUAUUGGAUAUGAAAACUGGAGUGAUAUGGAUUCAAGAUUGUUCAAAAAAAAAAAAAAAAAAAAAAAAAAAACAGCAAAUUCAGGAACCUACCAAUUAAGAUUCAAUUGAUUUAUAAAAUAAUUCAAGAUAAAAAAGGUAAAAAAAAAAAUAAUCAAACGAAAAAAAGAAGAAAAGGAAAGCUAAGUAUCAAAUUAAAUGAAUGACUGAAAUUAGUAUUUUUAAUAAGUGUUUUUUUUUAUCAUUUAGGCACGUGAUGGCUGCAAUAAAGUUCGCUACUGAACUAUUGUUUCGAAUGGACCUAAUCUAAAACUAAUACUGGAUUGAGAUAUGCAGUGGAGUUAUUCCAAGGAAGUGGCAUCCCUCUCUUCACCAACAUGACGUAGCAGUAGCCACCGUAACAAAGGCUCGAGUGACCGCCUCAAGAUGACAACCUAUCUUUCAACUUGUUGCCUGGUCUAACGCGUGUCACAAGAAGAGUUAUUCACGGACGUUUAUUACUGAGGAAUAUUGUAUUUGUUGUUUUAUUAAAGUUAAGGAAAGAUAGUGUCGGCUAUUCAGUAUGACAGGAAAUAAUAUGUAUCUAAACGAAGGCCAUUGUAGCUCAAAUAAGUUAAAAUAGGGAGAAAUCCACUAAACAUGAAUAACAUUAAGUAUAUACUUUCGUUGCAACUAUUAGAGCUUAUUGAUAUUAAAAAAAUAUUUAUUACAACGUACUGAUACUCUGUUAUCCAUAAGAAUUAACUAUUUUGUUUCUUCAUCAUUAGAGAAAAGGAGAGAUGUAGUAUAGUAGAGUUAGAUGAGAGUAGGCUGUGACAAUUGAGCUUGACAGGAAUGAAGGAUAAUAAAUCAUUGUUGUUUAAUACUCUGAAAACUAAA